GCCUCAGGGAGUUGUGCCCAGGCCCUGCCUGCCUCUCUGCCCGGUAGGAGGGGCUGGGGCUCCAUGCGGGACGUCCUGGUCUGAGGUGGGGUGCCUUCACUCCAGGGCAGCUAUGUCAGACUGGGACGGAGGACUGCCUUCGGGUUUUCUCCCACAGACGGAAAUUCAAAGCCAACAGGCCUCUCCCCGAGAGACUGCAGACCCAGGCCAAGGUUCCCAGGAAAUGGCCAGCUCACCCUGUCUGACAAGUGACCUCUCCUGACAAGUGGCCAAUUGAGUUUCAAAACAACAGUGCCACUGACUAAAAGAAAAUUGCCUCUUUAAAAAAAAAUUGUAUUUAUUUAUUUUUGGCUGUGCUGGGUCUUCGUUGCUGUGAGGGCUUUUCUCUAGUCGUUACAAGUGAGGGCUACUCUUUAA
rnacentral:lncRNA from 1 species